CCACUCCCAGCGCCGAGCCGGCACCGCGAGGCGGGGGAGCUGCCGCUCCGGGGACGAUCCCCGGGUUUGUGUCAGCCCCGCGUUACACCCCCGCCUCCGCUUAACCCUUCGGGGAGCGGCGGCGCGGGGCUGCGGGGCCGUAGGGCGGAGUGCACUUUGACCCGUUGUGCAACCGCCGCGGAGGAAGUAAAUAAAGUGCGGAUCCAAGCCGCUGUCCUUUGCUGGCUGCUCUUUCUAAAGUCAGCUGAGAAUUCCUUAGAAGACCAUCCAGCAGAGAUGACAGCAAUAUGGAUUACUGUAAUAAGGGAUGUGUCAGAAGAGUCUGCAGUUUGGAGAUGGCUUGGGGGAAGAUGUGUAGCUGCUUUUGGGUGUCUGUGUGCAGCUCCUACGAGUCUUAAUUGCCCAGUCACAACUCUGAACCCCCAUCAAUAAAAGAAUGAAAACCUGA